AUUGAUCAUCGAGCUUUAUCUCCUGAGCAAUUCUUGAGCAUUAAGAGCACUACAAACUCUCCACUGCACAAUAUCCAGUAAGUAUGUUUUUUUAUUUUUUUUAUAUGGAUAAAAUAUAAACAGGUGACAAAGCAAUAUUAAUGAGAUAAUAUUAUUACUGAGUCAUUGAUGCACUAUAGCACUUCAGAACCUGUGACUAGCUUGUGGAGUUUUGUGAAAUUCACUGGGGAAUGUUGUAGGCCUCAAUGAUUUUCCUUGCUCGUAAUUUUUCACAUAAAGUCAAUGAGAGAGUAAUGAGAUGAUAUUCAUUUGGUUGGGGAACCAUUCGUUUUAAAUUGUUGUAAGUUAUAGAUAAAGUUUUUGGUUCCUUAAAGAUAGAACCAGUUUAUGUUAUAGCCAUGGGCGGCAUUCAAAGUUGCAUACUCUCUGAGUAGAUACUUCUUAUGAAUAAGUAAUAAUUUUGCAAUAAAAAAAAUAGUCUAAUAUGUGUGGUAGGUAUAUAGAUGUACUACAUUUGUCAUGUUAUCACUGUCAUGUGAGCUACAGCAUCAGUUACAAUGCAGUUCACAAUUUUGCUUCUGUGGGGCUCAUGGGAUAGACUAAACUAAAGAAUCUCAAUAGAAGUGGUAGGUCAUCCAGGUACUUUUCAUCUACUGCUUUUCACCCUACUAUAUAGUAGAGAAGUAUGCAAGUUCUGAUAAUGCCCUAGACAUUUAAAACCAAGUAAAAACAUCAUGUUGAACAUCCAAUCAGAAAAAAAAAAUGCUUUCGGCCUGUCAAUCAUUUAGAUUUUGUCAUAUUGUUUGGCAGUCAGUAUAUUAUACUAACAAUAUAUCAUAUUUUGCUACUUUUGUGUUUUACUACACUGAGGAACCUCUUUGGCCAAUCAGUUACUGUAGUUUAGGUUUGGAAUAUAAUUAACUUAUAUUGAAAAUCUGACCGUAUUAAAAAACAUUUAUGGAUGCCUUUGCAUAUAAUUUUUUUUUUUUUUUUAUGUUAAUAUUGGUCUUAUUUCACAUACAUAGGCUAUCUUUAAUUAUGUGUUUGUUUGUUGUUUUGCAGACCAUCUUUUCAGAGCACAACCUGUAUUUUUCACUGCAGCUGAACGCCUGGUUUUGGAUUUUCUCCAAGCAGCAGUUCUUCUGUAUUGUUCUCCCCACCCACCACCCCCACCCCCCCCUCCCCCACCCCCCCCCCCCCCCCACCCCCCCCCCCCAAAAAAAAAAAAAAAAAAAAAGUUCAUUAUUUUCAAUACUAAGUUGAUUUGUGUUCAAAUACUACUGUUCUUUUAAAAGUUCAGUCCUUUUAAUACUAGAUUAAUAAUUUGUUUAAUCUGCUAUUGUUUUCUUCUUUGGAAAAAAGUUUGUUUCUAUUAAUAUUAGAUUCAUAAUUUGUUUUAUCUGCUAUUGUUCUUUUUAUUGAAAAAGUGUAUUACAGUAGCUGUAUUUGUAAGUCAUUCUUUUUCUUGUCAAUUAACUUGUUUUUUUUCUUGAGAAUACUUUGCAGGUUGCAUCGCUUCAGCAUUUCGUGAAGUAAGUGACUGAAAAUAUCUUAAAACUGCUUAUUGAAUACAUCACUUUUUAACUGUAGCAUUAAAACCAUUUUACAGUCAUUUUAAUCAGAGAUCUGUUCAAACUCAUAAUGAAGAAAAGGUGACAGUUGUUUGCUAAACACUUAUUUAAGAGACGAUGUGAAAUCAUCUGCUUAUUAGUAUUAUUAUUAUUAAAAAAAACAGUCAGAACAGAUGAUCAAGACGUUAAACUUGGAUUAUUUAAUCCCAUUUAGCUAAAAAAAGGAUGAGUAUUAUGAUCAUAAAAUUGUCAAAGGCUGCAAUUGAGCUAAAUUAAAUUAUUCUAAUGUGAAGUAUGUUUGAAAAUUAAGCACUUCUUUGUUUGCAUACAUGCAGCAUGUGAUGGUGUUUUCAGAGCAUCUCUACAGAGAAAGCAUCACAUUUACACAAUUUCCGUGUCUGUAUAUGCUUGUGGAGUUGUAGAAUUCCCAACUCUUUGACCAAGUUAUUUCUUUCUAAUUAAUGGGCUAGUCAGAUAUGUCAUGGAUUAUUUUAUAUCAUGUCUUUGAUCUGUUUUCUCAUAUUUU
ensembl:lncRNA